rnacentral:rRNA from 1 species
AGAGUUUGAUCCUGGCUCAGAUUGAACGCUGGCGGCAGGCCUAACACAUGCAAGUCGAACGGAAACGAUACUAGCUUGCUAGUAGGCGUCGAGUGGCGGACGGGUGAGGAAUACUUAGGAAUCUGCCCAUGUAGUGGGGGACAACUUCGGGAAACCGAAGCUAAUACCGCAUACGCCCUACGGGGGAAAGCAGGGGAUCUUUCGGGACCUUGCGCUAUUGGAUGAGCCUAAGUCAGAUUAGCUUGUUGGUGGGGUAAUGGCCUACCAAGGCAACGAUCUGUAGCUGGUCUGAGAGGAUGAUCAGCCACACUGGGACUGAGACACGGCCCAGACUCCUACGGGAGGCAGCAGUGGGGAAUAUUGGACAAUGGGCGCAAGCCUGAUCCAGCAAUGCCGCGUGUGUGAAGAAGGCCUGCGGGUUGUAAAGCACUUUCAGUAGCGAGGAAAAGCUUAAGGUUAAUAACCUUGAGUCUUGACGUUAACUACAGAAGAAGCACCGGCUAACUCUGUGCCAGCAGCCGCGGUAAUACAGAGGGUGCAAGCGUUAAUCGGAAUUACUGGGCGUAAAGCGCGCGUAGGCGGUUUGUUUAGUGGGAUGUGAAAGCCCCGGGCUUAACCUGGGAACUGCAUUCCAAACUGACAGACUAGAGUACAAGAGAGGGGGGUAGAAUUUCAGGUGUAGCGGUGAAAUGCGUAGAUAUCUGGAGGAAUAUUAGUGGUGAAGGCGACCUUCUGGGCUGACACUGACGCUCAUGUACGAAAGCGUGGGGAGUAAAUAGGAUUAGAUAUCCUGGUAGUCCACGCCGUAAACGAUGUCAACUAGCUGUUGGGAGGAUUUGCCUCUUAGUAGCGUAGCUAACGCGAUAAGUUGACCGCCUGGGGAGUACGGCCGCAAGGCUAAAACUCAAAUGAAUUGAUGGGGGCCCGCACAAGCGGUGGAGCAUGUGGUUUAAUUCGAUGCAACGCGAAAAACCUUACCUGCCCUUGACAUGUAGCGAACUUUCCAGAGAUGGAUUGGUGCCUUCGGGAACGCUAACAUAGGUGCUGUAUGGCUGUCGUCAGCUCGUGUCGUGAGAUGUCGGGUUAAGUCCUUUAACGAGCGAAACCCUUGCCGUUAGUUGCCAGCGGGUAAUGCCGGGGACUCUAGCGGGACUGCCGGUGUCAAACCGGAGGAAGGCGGGGAUGACGUCAAGUCCUCAUGGCCUUUAUGCCCAGGGCUUCACACGUGCUACAAUGGUCACUACAAAGCGAAGCGAGAUCGUGAGAUGGAGCAAAUCGCAAAAAAGUGGCCUCAGUUCGGAUUGCAGGCUGUCAACUCGCCUGCAUGAAGUUGGAAUCGCUAGUAAUCGUGUAUCAGCUACGACGCGGUGAAUGUGUUCCUGAGCCUUGUACACACCGCCC